UAACACAUUAUAUUUUGCUCACCGUAUGUCAAAAUUUUAACUAAUGACUACAUAUUGAAACGUGCGUAGGUUUCACUUUAUUCUUCUCGUCAUCAAUUUGGAAAUUGGAGAAGUUGAAGUCUUGGACUCACUAACCAAAGAAAAGGAUCUAUACGUGUCUUGUUUUUUAAUGCUCAGAAGCGUAUGGCAAACUUUCAUCAAGGAAGAUACGUCCCGUGAAUGGCCACCGAAGCUGCGAUGGCGUGCGAAAAAAUGCCCGCAACAACCUCCGGGGACCGAUCUCUGUGGAUUCUUCGUUUGCGAGUUCAUCCGCAGAAUUGUCAACGAGAGAACGAAUAAUGAGAGAAAUAAAGAGGUACAAAAACAAUCUUCACAAAUUUGUUUUGUUAUCAUAAGUUGUGCCGAGUUUCAGUAAUAGUUGUUUCAUGUAUUCAUUUGUAUCUUAUUCUUUUAUAGUUGGCAAGAAAGCGGAACAAGCUCUCAAUCGAUGACCGCUUCAUAGCAAUAGGCGAGGAAU